rnacentral:rRNA from 1 species
GAUGAACGCUGGCGGCGUGCCUAAUACAUGCAAGUCGAGCGAACAGAUGAGGAGUUUGCUCCUCUGACGUUAGCGGCGGACGGGUGAGUAACACGUGGAUACCCUACCUAUAAGACUGGGAUAACUUCGGGAAACCGGAGCUAAUACCGGAUAAUCUAUUGAACCGCAUGGUUCAAUAGUGAAAGACGGUUUUGCUGUCUCUUAUAGAUGGUUCCGCGCCGCAUUAGCUAGUUGGUAAGGUCACGGCUUACCAAGGCAACGAUGCGUAGCCGACCUGCGAGAGGGAUCGGCCACACUGGAGCUGAGACACGGUCCAGGCGCCUGCGGGAGGCAGCAGUAGGGAAUCUGCCGCAAUGGGCGAAAGCCUGACGGAGCGGCGCCGCGUGAGUGAUGAAGGUCUUCGGAUCGGAAAACUCUGUUAUUAGGGAAGAACAAAUGUGUAAGUAACUAUGCACGUCUUGACGGUACCUAAUCAGAAAGCCACGGCUAACUACGUG